rnacentral:snRNA from 1 species
GUCUCUUCGGAGAUAUCCGAUAAAAUUGGAACGAUAUAGAGAAGAUUAGCAUGGCCCCUGUGAGGAUGACAUGCACAAAUAAAGAAAUGGUCCAAAUUUUA